rnacentral:rRNA from 1 species
GUCUAUGGCCAUGCCACCCUGAACAAGCCUGAUGUCUGAUCUCAGAAGCUAAACAGGGUUAGGCCUGGUUGGUACUUGGAUGGGAGACCACCUAGGAAGACCAGGUGCUGUAAGCA